CACUAUGCGUAGCCGUAAACCUGACAGCUCUUUACAUUUGCUGUUCGCCCGGGAACUACGAGCGUAAGCUUAAAACCCAAAGGACUUGACGGUGCUUUAUAUCCCCCUAGAGGAGCCUGUCCUAGAACCGAUAAUCCCCGUUAAACCUCACCUUUUCUUGCUCAUUCCGCCUAUAUACCGCCGUCUCCAGUCUACCCUGUAAAGGACCCAUAGUAGGCGAAAUUGGUACAGCCCCAGACGACAGGUCGAGGUGUAGCGUAUGAAAAGGGAAGAGAUGGGCUACAUUCAGUGAAACACUGAAUACGGAAAGCUGAUUGAAACAUUAACUUGAAGGAGGAUUUAGCAGUAAGUGGCGAAUAGAGAGCCCCACUGAAAUCGGCCCUGAAGCGCGUACACACCGCCCGUCACUCUCCCCGAGCAGAAAAAUUCUUUACCUAAAAAGCCAAAAAAUGUAAAGGGGAGGCAAGUCGUAA
rnacentral:rRNA from 1 species